UUAGCUUCUCAUUAGUUUCAUUCCACAUUUUCCACUUCCUUCUCGAGACUCACCGGACUCUACCGUCGCCAGUCACCCUCACUCUCUCCCGGUUGGACUGGCGGUGAUUAACAGCCAUAACCGGCGACCCCCUCAGGUAUUUUGGACUCUACCCUAAUAGAAGUCGGACUGUUAUCACCGGAGAUCGAUAGAAGCCGAACUCCUGUCAACGGUAAUCAUUCAGAUUCGCCUACCCUUGCGGAUUCUAUGGACAAAGGAGUCUGAUGAGAGAAGAGGUGGCCAUUGGAAACAAGAAGAAGUGGAGGUGUCAUCAUCAUUGUCUCAUGUUUCUCACUCUGCCGCUUGGGGAGUCGGUUUCAACCUUCAAUAUGGAGAAUGUCGUCUGCAGCCACGGACUAUUCAUGGUGGCGCUGAACCAGUGCGACCCAUGACUAAGACCUAUCUUCCAGCGCCCAUUGAGAGUCUCUGAUGAAACCACUUCCAUCCUCGCCUGCAUCUCCCAUCCCCCCAAUUCCCCUUCUCUCCAUGUCCGCGUUCUCGGCACCACUUCCCUCUCUCCCGAUGAUCAAGAAGUUCUGCCGGUACUCAACUAUCUACCUACUACCAGGGCUAUCAAUUGGACGGUUUUGGGUUGGACCCAAACCGAUUCAAAUCUUAUCAAAUCGGUUUUGGAUAAUCCAUUAUUCUUAUUGGGUUGGGCCAACCCAAAAUAAAACCGUCCGUAUUAUUAUUGGUUUGAGUCGGUCUAAAACCAAAAUCCGUUGAAUUAUCAUCUCGCCAAAGUUCAAACCCUACAGAUUUCAUUCAAAGCCAAAAUCGAAAACUGACCUUGAAACUCAAAGCAACCUUCGAACUCAGUUCUGAUCUUCAUUCUUUUUCUCCCCUGUUAGUUCUUUUCUCUUCUUCCUCUCCCUCUCUAUCCUUCUCUGUCGUCGUCCCUCUCCCUCUCUAUCCUUUGCUGCCGUCGUUUCUUCUCAUCUUCUCAUCAGCCAUCGUCGUCAUCCAAGACGAACCGAUAGAAACCAAAGAAGCCUCCCCUGUUGCAUUGACAGACCUCAGGCGAAAAUUCCGAACCAGGUGCUGGAAUGUGGAAUGUGGACCAGGAUCUAGAGCUGGGGGCGCAUAACCAUCGGAACAUGCCAUUAGUAUUCUUUUAUAUGGAAAAUGCUACAUCAACUUCCUUCGGGUGGUUUGGAUAACGGUUUAUGUGGUUUCAGAAUUUUUAUUCUCUGGUUGCAGUUGUUCAUCCAUCCUCUUGAUGGUAUUUGAUCAAAUGGAGAUGGAAUUUUUUGGUUGAUACAGUAAUUUCUUUGAAAAGAAUGUUGAUUAGAUACAAUAAUUUCUACCUGGAAUAUAUGGUUGAUACAGUAAUUUUUAAUUUUUUA